AAUCAACGCUGGCGGCGUGCCUAACACAUGCAAGUCGAACGAGAAAGUGGAGCAAUCCAUGAGUACAGUGGCGACCGGGUGAGUAACACGUGACUACCUACCCUUGAGUGGGGGAUAACCCCGGGAAACCGGGGCUAAUACCGCAUAGCAUCGAGAGAUCAGAGGAGCAAACCGCUCUUGGAGGGGGUCGCGGCUGAUUA
rnacentral:rRNA from 1 species